GGCCCCGCGGCCCCGCGCCCCCGGCCGACGACGAUGACCACUUCCCUGCAGGACGGGCAGGGCGCCGCGGGGCGGGCGGCCGCCCAGGACUCGCCGCUGGCCGCCCAGGUGUGCGGCGCUGCCCGGGGGAGGGGCGACGCCCGCGGCCCGGCGCCCGCGCCCGCGCCCGCGCCCGCUCCCUGGGGGCCCGCGCGGGCGCUCCUGCCCCCUCCGGCCGGGGCCCGCGGCCGCGCCGCAGACAGGAGAAAAAAGAAAGAUCUUGAUGUUCUGGAAAUGCCAUCUAUUCCAAACCCUUUUCCUGAGCUAUGCUGUUCUCCGUUUACAUCUGUGUUGUCAGCAGGCCUGUUUCCCAAAGCAAAUUCAAGGAAAAAGCAGGUAAUUAAAGUAUACAGUGAAGAUGAAACCAGCAGGGCUUUAGAGGUACCCAGUGACAUAACUGCCCGAGAUGUUUGCCAGCUGUUGAUCCUGAAGAAUCAUUACAUUGAUGACCACAGCUGGACCCUUUUUGAGCAUCUGCCUCACAUAGGACUAGAACGAACAAUGGAAGAUCAUGAGCUGGUGAUUGAAGUGCUAUCUAACUGGGGAAUGGAAGAAGAAAAUAAACUAUACUUUAGAAAAAAUUAUGCCAAAUAUGAAUUCUUUAAAAACCCAAUGUAUUUUUUUCCAGAGCAUAUGGUGUCUUUUGCAACUGAAACCAAUGGUGAAAUAUCCCCCACACAGAUUUUGCAGAUGUUUCUGAGUUCAAGCACAUAUCCUGAAAUCCAUGGCUUCUUACAUGCAAAAGAACAGGGAAAGAAGUCCUGGAAAAAGAUUUACUUCCUUCUAAGAAGAUCUGGUUUAUAUUUUUCUACUAAAGGGACAUCAAAGGAACCACGGCAUUUGCAGUUUUUCAGCGAAUUUGGCAAUAGUGAUAUUUAUGUGUCACUGGCAGGCAAAAAAAAACACGGAGCACCGACUAACUAUGGAUUCUGCUUUAAGCCUAACAAAGCGGGAGGGCCCCGAGACCUGAAAAUGCUCUGUGCAGAAGAAGAGCAGAGUAGGACGUGCUGGGUGACUGCGAUUAGAUUGCUUAAGUAUGGCAUGCAGCUGUACCAGAAUUACAUGCAUCCAUAUCAAGGUAGAAGUGGCUACAGUUCUCAGAGUAUAUCACCCAUGAGAAGUAUAUCAGAGAAUUCUCUCGUAGCAAUGGACUUCUCAGGACAGAAAAGCAGAGUUAUAGAAAAUCCCACAGAAGCCCUUUCAGUUGCUGUUGAAGAAGGACUUGCUUGGAGGAAAAAAGGAUGUUUACGCCUGGCCACCCACGGUAGCCCAACUGCCUCUUCCCAGAGCUCUGCCACAAACAUGGCCAUCCACCGGUCCCAGCCAUGGUUUCACCACAAAAUUUCUAGAGAAGAAGCUCAGCGAUUGAUUAUUCAGCAAGGACUUGUGGAUGGUACAAAUCAAGGAGGUUGUGCUGAGGUUUGGAUGAGAAAUGAAACCAGCAUCAAUUUAAACAAGUGGUGAUGGGAUCUUUUAUCUUCAAGGGUUGGCUUAAGAUGAUGACAAGAUUUCAAGGUGAUUUAAUACUGACAUUUGGAUAAAAAUGCAUCUUCACAUGGAAGAUUAUUAAUAGCAAGUCAGCAUUUCACUAGACUCUAAAUAAGAGAAGAUUUUAAUAUACUUCUCUAUGUGGAGCACAGUCUCUUUAGAUAUAAAUUUGAACAAUCAGCAGAAUUACAAUCUGAUGAGACCAAGAAAAAUAAAUCACAAAGAAUCGUUAAAAUGUUUUGGAGGAUUAUAAUCUCCCUACUCUAAGAGCCUGGUUUUUAUAAAUUGAAUAAAAUAAUUGCAUAAAGGAUGGUAACAUCUUUAUUUUUUUUAAUUUUUUAAUAAAAAAUUUGAGGAGGGGGACAGGAUCCUUUGGAAAGAUGUGAUGAUGCCAGGCAGUCCACUAGAUGGUGGUGGUGAUCCACUCGGGAAUGGGGAGGGAAUUACAGCUUGCCUUACCAGUGAAACUCCCUUUUGUCCCAUCUCCCAGUGAUGUAAUGUAGGAAUCUCACACAGUACAACUGAAAUGGAUAAUCUCAUCAGACAUCUGUGAUGGCUCAAAUUCGGCUGCCUCUUUGCCCAGGCACAGUGAGAUUAGUAUUGGAGUCACCAGGGGGGAUGGUUUGCACAAUCUGUUUGCCAACAAUUAACACAAAGCUGGUUUUGCACUCUAUUGCCAAGUUUUCUUGGUACGGGAUAGUCAGAGUAACCCCAAAACUUUCGUACUGUCAAUGAGUCAUGGACAAAAAAUAAAGCAUUUUCAAAUUAUACCA